UACAGAGGUCUCAAGCGUUGUUCGGAUUCAUUGGGCGUAAAGGGCGCGUAGGCGGCGGGGUAAGUCGGGUGUGAAAUCUCAGAGCUCAACUCUGAAAUGGCACUUGAUACUGCUCUGCUAGAGGACUGGAGAGGAGAUUGGAAUUCACGGUGUAGCAGUGAAAUGCGUAGAUAUCAGAAGGAACAUCAGUGGCGAAGGCGGCUUUCUGGACCAAUACUGACGAUCAGGUGCGAAAGCGUGGGGAGCAAACAGG
rnacentral:rRNA from 1 species